UAAGGCCCAAAAAGAACGUUAACCGCAGACAGGGCCUAGUGGCAUCCACCUCGCCGCCGCCGCCGCCGCCGCCGGUGGCGUGGCUCCACGGCGAGGAGGGCGGAGGAUGUCUCCACUGUCAACUCCGACGGCAAGGAGGUAGUGAGUUGAUUGAUGGAUUGCAUCUUUGUAAGGCUAGCCAUAUUUGCAAAUGCAGCGGAUGCUAAAAUUAUUAAGUAGGCCAUGAGAGCUUCUGGGACCUGAAGAGGCAUCAAAAACUGUCCUGGCUUUUUCCACCUUCAGGAAGGAUGAUUACCACUAAACGGAUGGUUAAUGUUAUGCAAGGGAUGCGCAGUAUUCUGCAUCCUAUGUCACUCAUAUAUCACUUGGAAUUGAAGUGGCAGCUGUCCAAUUGCCACAGGCAACAGCCUCUGAUAAUCUAAUGGCAAAAAUGCAGAAGAUUACCGCAUAUAUUCUUGCUUUGAAUUAAGAAAAAUCAAGUUACACUUCACAUUUCUUGUGGUGCACAUAAGAAGAGUCCCACCAGUGAUUACAAGCUGUCAUUCGUCAUCCUGAUCACCAAAUAUGUGGAGAUAAUUAUCGGUGUGCGAUGAUGGAUACCACCACCACAAGUCGUUGGGCCAGCACUCCAGUAGUUUGUGCUGGAAGAUUAAGUUGGCAGGUGAUCCUUGUGAUGGCAGCAACAGAGACAUCAAUGCAGAUAAAACAAAAACCAAUUUGCAUGGUUUGGUCUCGCACUCACUAUUAUGCAUGUGUAGUAAUCUCAGGGAGCCAAAGGCUCUGUGCUAUCAGAUGAUUGUUCACCCGGGGAUGAUAAUCGUAUCCUGCAGGCUCAUGCUUAAGACAAGUGCUGGUGACGAUGAGCUAGCUCAUCUUGUGAUGGAACCAAAUUUGGAGCACUGGCGCCUCGACAUAUCUGGAUGCUGCAUAUAUGAUAUAUCAGUGGGUGGUUCUGCAUGGGCAACAAAAGACUAUUUUUCUCCGUACAGUACAACAAAAGACUAUUGACUGUGUGUCGUUUUGACAGAGGGAUGUAAUGCAAGCAAAGAAAAGAUGUACAGGCCAGCACUUGAUCGAUGCUAUGCCUUUUUGGCACUAUCAGUUUCGCGUAACAGAUAUGAUGCCUUGCAAUUGUACAUCCUUUGCACAGUACUGCUCACUGACAGGAAAUCACAUUUGUUACGGUUUGCUCCCAUUGAGGAAAUGUCUGCCUCGGGUGAAUCGACCGUGAGGAAUGAACUUUGUCCGUA